UUGGGACCUGAUAUCAAACAAAGACUACCCGCU
rnacentral:rRNA from 1 species